ensembl:lncRNA
UUUGGUUGAUUUUUAUGUGAAUGUUCUUAAGAAACAUUUGUAACAUUUCUUUUUUCCACCAAAAAAUGUUCACAGAUUUCCCAAAAAUGUUAAAUGUGGACAUCAGAAAUUUCAGUGUGAAAAUAUAUAUUUUUUCCCACAUUUUCAUCUUUAAAACGGGUCAAUUUUGACCCGCAGGACGACACGAGGGUUAAAAAAAAAUAGAUCUAUACACCACAAUGUGUUCUUUCCUGAUACUUUUUCAGUCGAUUUUAAGCUCUUUUCAGUCUGUCUAGUCGCUAUAAUGCGGUGUGUGUGCAGCGGUCCAUGGAUCCAUGUUCUCAGGGUGUAAUAUUCUCAUGCAUCUUCACAUCUCCAUCUCUAUUUGUGAGGUUAACUGUGUGUCGUACGGUGCCGUCAGUGUUCCUGUUGGCUAACAGCAAGCAUCCCCGCGACUGUGGUCAAAAGAUUUUUUUAAAAAUCUUCAUUUUUUUUCAGCUGUAUAAGCUAACAAAAUACUGUGGAAUAAGCUUUUCAGUAGCUCAAAUAACAGCCACUAAUUAAAAUGUAAACGAGAUGCUGGCUAGACUCGGACUACAUCAACAUUAAUGCAUAGUUUACUGAGGUCUAAUUCAGUUUUUUUUUUUCUCUAAUUUUGGUAAAAGUGCACAUCAUUAAUGACCAGGCAGAGAAAGUGAUUUUAAGAUGCCUCAUUUAGGAGAAGACGAGCAGUUUUUUGCACAACGCCGAGCUUGAUAGCGUCCAGUGAAUGGGGAGAAGCAAAAGAAAAGCUUUUUAAAAAAAAUUCUUUGUUUCAAAAGACAUUCAAAAAAGAAAAAAAAAAACAAAUCAACAAGGGAGCAAAGACUAAACGAAAUGCUCAGCUUUGUUUUUUCACUGUGAUGUUAAUUUUGUCUGUGUGUACAAGUGUGUAUAGUCCUCUCUGAUUUCCUUUAGCAUACAGCUUCAUACGGCUCAAAAAAACGCAGAAGACUUUCUUCGUAUUAACGCUUUCAGAUCCCACAUUUCUCCUAGCGACGUAUGGGAUCUUAAAGCUUUAAGGUUGAGAAGAUCUCGGUGAUUGUUCAGGCUGUCAAAACAAGGUCUCAUUGUAGGAAAAAAAAGAAGGAAAACUACUCUUUAUUAUUACCAUUUAAUGCUGUAUUACAGUGACCAGCAUAUAUAUCUUCUAUGUUUGUGUGUUGUUGUCCUUGUAAAUAACAGUAUGUUACUCCUCUGUUUGCCCUUGAAAAACACAGAUUGAUUAAAAAAAAAAAAAAAAAAAAAAAACGAAAAAAGGAAACAGCAAAUGGAGAGGGUAUUUUUUGUUAUUUGUCCUUCAGGAGAAACACAUUAUGUACAUACCUUCAGUUUAUUGUAAAUAAGUGAUUUAAAAAAAAAAAAACAACUGGCAUUGACAUUUUGUGUGUCAUAAAUAAUCUGUGUAUGGCAGUUCAAGCGGUUAAAAAAUCUGUUUCAGUGUUUAUUAAAAAGUCAUGGACCAUUUUUACUGCACUAACCUUGCAUCUGCUGCCGUUACUUCAUCAGCUGUUUGCGUGUUGGAAUGAACAGAAAGCUUUAAAGCAGGAGUGUCCAACAUGAGGCCCGCGGGCCAAAAGUGGUCCUCCAGAGGGUCCAAUCCGUCCCUCAAAGUGUAAAAAUUCCAGGGAAGACAUUAACUGCAGAUUGUAAAUUAGUAAAACUAUAAACUUAAAAUAAUUUCUAGACCAUGACAAGUUGUUUUGAUCAUAAAGUAAAAUACUAGAUUGUUCAUUGUUCUUUUGUUGUUUUGUGUAUCAUUUUUGUAAUAUUUUGUCUUAUUUUUGUUGUUUUUUUGUCUGACUUUUGUCAUUUGUCUAAUGUUUUUGUCGUUUUGUUUCCUUUUUUGUUGUUUUGUUUCCCUUUUGUCUUGCUUGUGUUUUUUGUCUUAGUUUUUGUCAUUUUGCAUUUUUUUUGUCUCACUUGCGUUGUUUGUCUGUUUUUUGGUGGUUUUGUUUCUUGCUUUUGUCAUUUUUUGUCUUUUUUUAAUUUGUUUCGUGUCUGUCUCAUUUUUUUGUCAUUUUGUGUCUUGCUUUUGUAAUACUUUGUCUUGUUUUUUGUCUGACUUUUGUUUUUGUCGCUUUGCUUCUCAUUUUGUUUUGCAUUUUUUCUCAGUUAUUUAUUGGUUAUUAUGUUAUGAUUUUACUGGUCUGGCCCUCUAGAGAUCAGAUUGUGGCCUGAACUAAGAUGAGUUUGACACGCCUGCUUUAAAUGAUGCUGCUGUGUGUCUGAAUCUGACAUGCAGCUCCUGUUUUGCAGUUAUGCUUUAAAUUUAAUGAUGAAGAUGUUCACUUUUUAGUGGUUGGAAUGACUUCAUCCACCUGGACUUUUGUGGCGUUUUGCCCCUCGCAGCUCGUCGUCCAACAGGUGUCAGCCUAGUGCCAAGCAACAGUUUGUUUGUCCUGUAUCGCAUGUAACACCGGCAGACCACCCAUGCUCGCCCGUGUGAAAGUCACACAAUGUUCUAACUGUAUUUACAGCCCCUUUUCAUUGGCAAACUGUUUAAAAAGCAGCUUUCUCCCGCUACUGUGUACGAGCCGCAGACGCACGCUGCCAAGAACAAGAGUGACGUUUUAGCGGAUUAAUCCAAAACGCCCCGCAGAUGAGUGUCUCUUUCUUUUAUUAACAGUUCAGCAACUAACAUCUACACCUACUUGGCUCUCAAACGUGUGAUUAAGGAUUAUUUGAGGAAGCUCUGUUUACAUCUCUCUCCAUUCAUUCAGAAAUGCUUUCUAAUGGUCUGAGCCACCCAGUUGUAGUUUGGAGUGCCUGUUUUGUCUUGAUAAAUAAGUCCAACGGUCUAUUUCCAAGUGUGUGUGUGUGUGUGUGUGUGUGUGUGUGUGUGUGUGUGUGUGUGCUGCUGAUAUUGCAGGGUUUGCAAACAGGAGGGCUGGGCACCGAGAGGAGAGCUUCCACAGGGCCGGACCCGUCUAACUGCCCCUAUCCAGACGCCCUCCUCCCCAACCUAACCUGCCCCUUUGCUCCACAGCCCGCCCAGCCCACCACCACCACCACCACCACCACCACCACCACCAGUACCAGCACCCCUCCUCCACUCAAACGCACCCUCUUUUCCCUCUCUCUCCUGCUGUGUGCCAUUCCCUCUCUCUCUCUCUCUCUCCUUACACUUCCUCCAAGUGGCCAGGGCUCCUCUCUUUUCUCUUGUCCUCUCCACAUCCCUCCACCACUCCUUCUUCUCCCUCCACAGCGACCAAUUCACCGGCUCCAUCUUCACCUCCUCAGGUUGAAAAAAAAAGAAGAAGCAGGAUCUCUUUCCCAGAACUUCCCCUCCGAACAUCUGUUUGUUUAUUUUUUGGUCCGUCCUCACCGGUUUUCCCUGCGGAGAGGCCUGUCGGUGAGCGUGUCUGGCGUGUGCGAGGGUCUCCGGUGUCGUGCUCUUUGCCCCCGAGGGACUCCCCUGAAAGCUUUUUGACCGGAGAGAAGAUCGCAGGAGAAGAAGAAGUUUUUCCCUCACGAUGAAAGUUCAGCUGCUGCUCCUCCUGGCCCUGGCCGGCCCUUUCUGUGCCUUCACUCGUGCAAGCCCCACAGAGCUCCCUGCAGACACCACCGAAGAGAUCCCAGUGACAGCAGCCGUCCCUGAUGCCACCAAUGCUGCAAAAGAGGAACUUAUCACUCUUGUCACCGGGCCCCCUGCCACCGAACCGGCGGCAGCCCCUGAAGAACUCAUGACAGAGGUUGUCACCGAGGCAGCACCUGCAACCACGGUCAUCAUGGAAGAGGCCGUGGCUGAGACAGAAGGCCCCGUUGCUUCUACUGCAGCGGCACCAGAACCCCUCGUCACCGACGCUCCUGUCGUGACCGAAGCCCCGACCGAGGCUGCAGAGGUUCCAGACGUUCCAGCCGAGGCGACGGCGGCCGUGGAGACAAAUGAGGAAGUUGUCGUUGAGGAGGGCUCAGAAGAUGGCCUGAGCUCUGGUCAGGUAGUCGGCAUCGUGAUCGGCGCCCUGCUGGCGGUUGUCAUCGUCAUCGCCGUGGUGAUCGCCGUGGUGAGGAGGAUGGGCAAAUACUCGCCUUGAGGAAAAAGUCAGCCAAGCAGCAGGAGCGUGCAAAGUUCUGGAAAUUCUGAACUACUGAACUGUGAUGUUAUUUCUGAUCAUUAAAACAAGCACGAUCCCAGAACUGAAUUAAUCUAACCAGGACUCUGAACUGUUGCCAAAAAACAAACAAACCAAAAAAAAAAAAAAGAAACCGAGGGGGAGGGAGGUUUGUGUGUGUUAAUGUAUAUACUGCAUGUAUGUGAGAUGAGACGGGGUUACAUGAGCCGACAUCCUCACCUCCCCUGCUACCUCCUCCAUCCCUGGGAGCUGCUGAUAAUAAAAGGCUCCGUCAGCCCCCUUACUCCCUUGAAGAGAACAAAACAAGGUGACAGCAGGAUGUCACAAAGAAUUUCAGGGCUUUUCAAAUGCAUUUUAUAGAGAAAAAGAGAGAGAGAGAAGAAGGGGGAUUAUCUGACAUCCAGGGGAAAAUUCUCUCCUUUUAAAGUGAUGUAGCGACUGACUUAGAUUAAUGCUGAAGUUGGAGGAAAGGAAUAUAGAAAUGGAAAAUACUGACAAAAAAUAUAUAUAAAUCAAACCCACAAAGAGAGUCAGGAUUAGGAAAGCAGGAAAUACUGUUGCAAAUUCCACAGGAUGUAUAUACAAUGCAAGGGGACUACAUAGUAUACAGCUAAUGACUUUCUCAUAUGUUGCAGUUGCAUAGGUUAGCAUUUGAUAUUAUGGAAUACGCAGUAUGUACAGGCAGCCGUAGGCUAUUGUUGUGGCUAAAACAACCCCUGAGCACCAGCUAGAAGAUCUUCUCAUGUAGCCAGAAUCCCUGACAUGUGUUGGCCAACUGUAUAAAGCACCGAGUGCAGAAGUUGCUCUGACAUAACAGUCGUGAGGGCGAGCAGCGAGGGGAAAAGGCACCCUCAUUUGCAAGAGUAACGUGACAUUCUGCCCACUUUAACACUGACAUAUAAAAACCUAAUACAUAUCUGUGAAAUUUAGCAGAAGGGUUUGUGCCACUGUCUCUGGUAUUCUCUAGCUAGCUAGGAAGAUUUUAACUUUUGAAGUGCAUUAUUAAUGUGAAUUGACUCUACUUUUUAACUGACACCCAUUCCAAAGAAAAAAGCAACACGACUUGUUCAUUAUAAGGGCUCACACACAGCCAGCAAUAGCAGUGUCUUGACAAUGUAUUCAUAGUAAUUCUGUUCAUAGUUAGAUUACCAGAACAGCCAUCCAGCCUUUAACUGGAGCUAACCCCACAUUGCAUGCACAGGAUGACGUUUCACAGUUGCACUUCAUCGCAGUGCACAGUGUUAGGCAGUUUUAUUGUUAUUUUUUGCAAUUGUAAGUGUGCUAAAUGGGUCUGCAGAUAAUGAAGUCUCAACUUACCCCUGCUUGCUUUACAGACUUGUUUAAUAUGUGCACUGAAUGAGUGGUAUAAUGUUUAAUGAAUAGGCUUUUAGACACUGCAAAUGUUUGCAACGACGUGUUUGUUUCCUCCCUUCUGCUUCGCCACAUAUUAUCACUUCUAGGUCUUUAAUUUGUGCCGUCUGAUUCGUUCAAGCCUUUUAUUUAAUUGCAGCGUUUUUGUUCAUACUGUUUCAAUAAAAAAACUGAAAAACACUCCAUGGAAAGAUCUCGC